GCACAUUAGAUUUUAGACAAUCUAUUGUAUAUCAGGUUGAAUUUGGACUUGAAAACUUAGCAUUGUCAAUUAAGAUUAGAAAUUUAGAGCAUGCCGGCUCAAUGGUGUCAUGGGUUCCGGAACCAAAAAACUUUAAUUUUCAAAUUAUUAUUUUCUUUAAAAAAUCUGAUAGAUAUAUUUAUUUCAAAAUACUAGAAUUAUUUUUAAAAUAAACUUAUACAAAAAAUUAUUUUCAUAUAAAAAAAAUUAAACCCCUUUUCUUUUUCCUAAUAUAAAAAAAAAUGGACUCUUAUCUAUUAAAAAAUAAAAACAACGGAUUGAGUCCGAAACGGUCGCACUGCUUGCCCCCCUAUCUAAACUGACCCUAGAAUUAGCCACUGCGUUACUUAACCAUGAUCUCUCCUUUGUUUGGAAGGGUAAAGUAAACACAUAACAUUCUGUUGGACACAAUCUUUUUUGUACAAUUUUAAAUUAAAUACACUCUUCUAUUAUAAAUUAAUUAUGGAAAUAUUAUACUAUUAUCUAUGUUUUCUAACAACAUAAUAUUUAAUUUUGUGUCCAAAAAAUAUAAGAUUCAUUUUUUUUGUCAACGAGUAGGUCUCAUUUUUUAAUAAUUUUUUUAUUAAUUUUCUUUCAAAUUAUUUAAUUUUAUAAAAUAGUUGACUAAAAAUAUUCAAAUAAUUUAAAUAUUUAAAAUAAUAAUUUCAGUUAAUAUGAAAUUAAUUAAAUUAAUGGAUUUUUAUAUUUUAAUAAAUUAAAACUUACAUUAAUAACCUAUAUAUUUAAAAAUAUCAUUAAAUAAUUUAUAUAAAAGUAAAUACCAACACCCUCACACGGACUUUUGUGGUUCAAGCUCUGGUUUAUAUUACAACCAAAACAUUAGUGGAGGAACAACGGCUUGCCAUUUCCUAAUCUAUACUAUACUAAAAGCAAUAUAUCCUCAAAGGAGAGGGAUGCCAACUCAGAUUAAAAAAUCAGCCAAUAAAAAUAAAUUAUAGUGCCACAUCAUCAUUAUAUUCUCUGUCUCGCGAAUAUCAUCUACGUUUCCUCUUCCUUUUUUUCCCAAUAAAGAUGGUCUUCCUGUUCAUCUUCCUUUCUCUCAGCGUACAAUUUUUUACUCCCACAAACUCUUUGUCUGCCUUUCUUUACAAUCCAAGCUUUAUUCGAUUUGAAACCAAAAGGAUAACUCAAACCCUAUAAAUAAGAGAAGUUUGCGAUUCCAAUCCCCCUACACCGACACCUUCUAAUCUUUCAUCUACUUGCCAAAAGCCAGACGCCUCCUUCAAGAAUGUAUUCCUCUGACGUUGUUGUUGCCCAAUCAGAUAUCACUCAACCUUUGAUGCUCUCCGAUUUGGUAGGACUUCCCAAUACAUUGUUGGUCGUCUCCUCCUUUUCUGUGGUUCGCUGGGAUUCGCGCAACAUAAAAAAAAAAGGGGUUACGGGAAUCAUCCUCCUUUUCCUUGAUGAAAAGGUAUGGUCUUUUCACAAUGUAAAGCAUGAUUUAUUCUAUCUUAGUUUUUAAAUUAAAAAAAAUCUACACUGCGCAUGAUAUAAAGCUUGGAUUGUAAAGAGAUGUUGAAAAACAAAUGUUGACUUCUUCUAGUGAUUGCAUACGCAGAAUUAGGUGAUUCAAAGAUUCAUCCCAUCUGCUCGCGCCGAUCACUACCGUCCAUCUUUAGUGGACGGUUCCAUUAUAAAACUUGAUAGGAAUUUAUGCUUCAGAAAUUCCUGCCAUGAGAGAGUUCACAGCCAGCUUGGGAGGUGCAGCAGGAGAGAUCGGAACACUUUCAUCUCCAACUCUAAUCAGCAGGUAGCGCUCAGGCUUACACUAUAGUUUAAUUGUCCUUUGUCACUUGAAAAUAGCAUUUGCUAUCGUAACUGUAUUGACUUUGUGAAGACGUGAGAAGCUGAUUUCAUUUGCAAAGCGCUGAUUGUUGAGGUCCUCCACCAGAAUGGCAGGCCGUUCGUUGCUUGCAUCGGGUGCAACAGAAGUUGGACAAAUGUGGCACUUCUCUUCGUUGCAACAAAUGCGUUUCUCCCAACGUUACCGGUGUUACCCAGGCAUGCAAUUUACAUUCUCACACACAGUUUAGAUAACACUGAGUUUUAAAAGGAUGUUUAUUUUUCCAAACCUUUUUGCAGAGGUACCGUGUCGAGCUAUCAGUUGAUGACGGCAACGAUAAUGCUAUGUUUGUGGUCUUCGACAUGGAGAAAACUAAGCUCGCUAAGAGAGAUGCUGCUGAUCUGGGUGGGUCAUGAGCUGUAUGUUUUUCUCUUUCACC